CAAGUCGAACGGCAGCACGGGAGCAAUCCUGGUGGCGAGUGGCGAACGGGUGAGUAAUACAUCGGAACGUGUCCUGUAGUGGGGGAUAGCCCGGCCAAAACCGGAUUAAUACCGCAUACGCUCUGCGGAGGAAAGCGGGGGAUCCUUCGGGACCUCGCGCUACAGGGGCGGCCGAUGGCAGAUUAGCUAGUUGGUGGGGUAAAGGCCUACCAAGGCGACGAUCUGUAGCUGGUCUGAGAGGACGACCAGCCACACUGGGACUGAGACACGGCCCAGACUCCUACGGGAGGCAGCAGUGGGGAAUUUUGGACAAUGGGCGCAAGCCUGAUCCAGCAAUGCCGCGUGUGUGAAGAAGGCCUUCGGGUUGUAAAGCACUUUUGUCCGGAAAGAAAACCGCCUGGCUAAUAUCCGGGCGGGAUGACGGUACCGGAAGAAUAAGCACCGGCUAACUACGUGCCAGCAGCCGCGGUAAUACGUAGGGUGCAAGCGUUAAUCGGAAUUACUGGGCGUAAAGCGUGCGCAGGCGGUUCGCUAAGACAGAUGUGAAAUCCCCGGGCUUAACCUGGGAACUGCAUUUGUGACUGGCGGGCUAGAGUAUGGCAGAGGGGGGUAGAAUUCCAC
rnacentral:rRNA from 1 species